rnacentral:rRNA from 1 species
UCCCUAUGGGGUGCAGCAGUCGCGAAAACUCCGCAAUGCACGAAAGUGUGACGGGGCUACCCCGAGUGCCACCCGCUGAGGGUGGCUUUUCUUUGGUAUAAUUAGCCAUUGGAAUAAGGAGAGGGCAAGACUGGUGUCAGCCGCCGCGGUAAUACCAGCUCUCCGAGUGGUAGGGAUGAUUAUUGGGCUUAAAGCGUCCGUAGCCGGCUUAGCAAGUCUCCUGUUAAACUCAGCGACCUAAUCGUUGACCCGCGGGAGAUACUACUAGGCUAGGAGGCGGGAGAGGUCGACGGUACUUCUGGGGUAGGGGUGAAAUCCUAUAAUCCCGGGAGGACCACCAGUGGCGAAGGCUGUCGACUAGAACGCGCUCGACGGUGAGGGACGAAAGCUGGGGGAGCGAACCGGAUUAGAUACCCGGGUAGUCCCAGCUGUAAACGAUGCGGGCUAGGUGUUUGGGCGGCCACGAGCCGCCCUAGUGCCGCAGGGAAGCUGUUAAGCCUGCCGCCUGGGGAGUACGGCCGCAAGGCUGAAACUUAAAGGAAUUGGCGGGGGAGCACCACAAGGGGUGAAGCUUGCGGUUUAAUUGGAUUCAACGCCGGGA